rnacentral:rRNA from 1 species
GACGAACGCUGGCGGCGUGCUUAACACAUGCAAGUCGAACGGUGAUCCGGGAGCUUGCUUUCGGUGAUCAGUGGCGAACGGGUGAGUAACACGUGAGUAACCUGCCCCUGACUCUGGGAUAACUGCUGGAAACGGUGGCUAAUACCGGAUAUGACACCUUCCUGCAUGGGAUGGGUGUGGAAAGAUUUUUUGGUUGGGGAUGGGCUCGCGGCCUAUCAGCUUGUUGGUGGGGUGAUGGCCUACCAAGGCGACGACGGGUAGCCGGCCUGAGAGGGCGACCGGCCACACUGGGACUGAGACACGGCCCAGACUCCUACGGGAGGCAGCAGUGGGGAAUAUUGCACAAUGGGCGAAAGCCUGAUGCAGCGACGCCGCGUGAGGGAUGAAGGCCUUCGGGUUGUAAACCUCUUUCAGCAGGGAAGAAGCGAGAGUGACGGUACCUGCAGAAGAAGCGCCGGCUAACUACGUGCCAGCAGCCGCGGUAAUACGUAGGGCGCAAGCGUUGUCCGGAAUUAUUGGGCGUAAAGAGCUCGUAGGCGGUUUGUCGCGUCUGCUGUGAAAACCUAAGGCUCAACCUUGGGCUUGCAGUGGGUACGGGCAGACUAGAGUGCGGUAGGGGUGACUGGAAUUCCUGGUGUAGCGGUGGAAUGCGCAGAUAUCAGGAGGAACACCGAUGGCGAAGGCAGGUCACUGGGCCGCAACUGACGCUGAGGAGCGAAAGCAUGGGGAGCGAACAGGAUUAGAUACCCUGGUAGUCCAUGCCGUAAACGUUGGGCACUAGGUGUGGGGCUCAUUCCACGAGUUCCGUGCCGCAGCAAACGCAUUAAGUGCCCCGCCUGGGGAGUGCGGCCGCAAGGCUAAAACUCAAAGAAAUUGACGGGGGCCCGCACAAGCGGCGGAGCAUGCGGAUUAAUUCGAUGCAACGCGAAGAACCUUACCAAGGCUUGACAUACACCGGAAAAGUGCAGAGAUGUGCUCCCCGCAAGGUCGGUGUACAGGUGGUGCAUGGUUGUCGUCAGCUCGUGUCGUGAGAUGUUGGGUUAAGUCCCGCAACGAGCGCAACCCUCGUCCCAUGUUGCCAGCGGGUAGUGCCGGGGACUCAUGGGAGACUGCCGGGGUCAACUCGGAGGAAGGUGGGGAUGACGUCAAAUCAUCAUGCCCCUUAUGUCUUGGGCUUCACGCAUGCUACAAUGGCCGGUACAAAGGGCUGCGAUACCGCGAGGUGGAGCGAAUCCCAAAAAGCCGGUCUCAGUUCGGAUUGGGGUCUGCAACUCGACCCCAUGAAGUCGGAGUCGCUAGUAAUCGCAGAUCAGCAACGCUGCGGUGAAUACGUUCCCGGGCCU